rnacentral:misc_RNA from 1 species
ACCCCGAUCCCAAGCACCAAGGAGCCGACGAUUUGGAUCAAGUCCUACAUCCCAAGCACCAAGGUGCCUGGUUGAUUUGGAUCACGAUCCCGAUCCGGAGCUCCAGGGCGCCGAGGAUUUCGAUCAAGAUCCUGAUCUGAAGCACCAAGGAGCCGAGGAUAUGGAUCAAGACCCCGAUCUGAAGCGACAAGGAGGAAAGGAUUUACAUCAAGACUCCGAUCACAAGCACCAAGGCGCCGAGGAAUUGGAUCAAAGAUCCCGAUCCCAAUCAACAAGUAGGCUAUGUUAUUUUCUGUUUUCCACACCGUUCAGGGCAUUUUGGUGGUUGUAUCGGCUUUUUGUUGCUUGCUUGGCGUUAGUGCCAAGGGAGUGGCUGGAAGCUAGGUCGUCCUCUGGGAUGCUUGUUGUAAAGGUGUAUGAGUUGUGUUUGGCUUGUUACGGGUGUUUGUUGGCUGCUUGUGCAGGAACUUUCAUGCGUUCAAGCCUCUUCAGUUGUGCUACAAGGCGUUGUUUGUCUUGUGCUUACGGUGGGUUUCCUGUGUUGCAUACCUAAUCAAGGGCAUCGUAUGGCUCGAUCGAAGUACAUAUUCGUAAUGCGCCGCUUGCGGCAUUGAACGAACCUUGAAGCGGUCUCUGUGGCCCAUGUUGUCUUUGCUCACGCAUGGAUGGCAUGGCCCUCGGAGCGUCGUUUGGUCUCUUGGAUACGGAACCUGAUGAUGUGGGCGGUAGGGUCUUUGAUGAUUCUACCUUUGC